UACGUAGGGACCAAGCGUUGUUCGGAUUUACUGGGCGUAAAGGGCGCGUAGGCGGCCCCACAAGUCACUUGUGAAAUCACCGGGCUUAACUCGGAACGGCCAAGUGAAACUGUGGAGCUAGAGUGUGGAAGGGGCAAUCGGAAUUCUUGGUGUAGCGGUGAAAUGCGUAGAUAUCAAGAGGAACACCUGAGGUGAAGACGGGUUGCUGGGCCAACACUGACGCUGAGGCGCGAAAGCCAGGGGAGCAAACGGG
rnacentral:rRNA from 1 species